CCCUUAGAUGUUCUGGGCCGCACGCGCGCUACACUGACGAAUGCAACGAGCUUAUAACCUUGGCCGAAAGGUCUGGGUAACCUCCAAAUUUCGUCGUGAUGGGGAUAGAUUAUUGCAAUUAUUAAUCUUCAACGAGGAAUGCCUAGUAAGCGCAAGUCAUCAGCUUGCGUUGAUUACGUCCCUGCCCUUUGUACACACCGCCCGUCGCUCCUACCGAUUGAAUGGUCCGGUGAAGCGUUCGGACCGUGGCCUUUGGACGGUUCGCCGUCUGUUGGCUGCGGGAAGUUCGUUAAACCUUAUCAUUUAGAGGAAGGAGAANUCGUAACA
rnacentral:rRNA from 1 species